CCUACGGGAGGCAGCAGUGAGGAAUAUUGGUCAAUGGACGAGAGUCUGAACCAGCCAAGUCGCGUGAAGGAUGACUGCCCUAUGGGUUGUAAACUUCUUUUAUAUGGGAAUAAAAUGUUCCACGUGUGGGCUUUUGUAUGUACCAUAUGAAUAAGGAUCGGCUAACUCCGUGCCAGCAGCCGCGGUAAUACGGAGGAUCCGAGCGUUAUCCGGAUUUAUUGGGUUUAAAGGGAGCGUAGGUGGAUUGUUAAGUCAGUUGUGAAAGUUUGCGGCUCAACCGUAAAAUUGCAGUUGAAACUGGCAGUCUUGAGUACAGGAGAGGUGGGCGGAAUUCGCGGUGUAGCGGUGAAAUGCUUAGAUAUCACGAAGAACUCCGAUUGCGAAGGCAGCUCACUGGACUGCAACUGACACUGAUGCUCGAAAGUGUGGGUAUCAAACAGGAUUAGAUACCCCGGUAGUC
rnacentral:rRNA from 1 species